rnacentral:rRNA from 1 species
UACGUAGGGUGCGAGCGUUGUCCGGAAUUAUUGGGCGUAAAGGGCGCGUAGGCGGCAUGUUAAGUCGGCUGUGAAAGCCUGGGGCUCAACCCCAGAGGGUCGGCCGAUACUGGCAAGCUAGAGUACGGAAGAGGUAGCUGGAAUUCCCGGUGUAGCGGUGAAAUGCGCAGAUAUCGGGAGGAACACCAAUUGCGAAGGCAGCUCGCUGGGACGUAACUGACGCUGAGACGCGAAAGCGUGGGGAGCAAACAGG